GACGAUCGAUACGAUGAAUGUUGGUCGAUCAAGUGAGAGAGAGGCGUUGCGUCCAUGAAGGAAGAACUACAGCAAGUGGGCUGCCUCAGUGCAAGAGAAGAGGGCACCGAUGGCCGUGACGUCUCAUUGGAAGUGGAUGCCGGAUUAUUGGAUGCAGCGCCUGGGUCAUCCUCCAAAAGGAUAAUUCACACCAACAAUGAAAUGUUCGGACUAACAAUGUGUACGUGCUUAGUGCUUUACUCACCCGAGUAGGAUCACCAUGAGCUGUAGAAUAGGCAUCAAGACUCUAGUAAGUAGUAACCCACAUGUAGAACGAGCAUUAUCAAUUCCGAGGAAGAGUUCUACCGUCUA